rnacentral:rRNA from 1 species
CCUUCGGGGUACUCGAGCGGCGAACGGGUGAGUAACACGUGAGCAACCUGCCCUAGGCUUUGGGAUAACCCCGGGAAACCGGGGCUAAUACCGAAUAGGACCACCGGCCGCAUGGCUGGUGGUGGAAAGUUUUUCGGCCUGGGAUGGGCUCGCGGCCUAUCAGCUUGUUGGUGGGGUGAUGGCCUACCAAGGCGACGACGGGUAGCCGGCCUGAGAGGGCGACCGGCCACACUGGGACUGAGACACGGCCCAGACUCCUACGGGAGGCAGCAGUGGGGAAUAUUGCACAAUGGGCGGAAGCCUGAUGCAGCGACGCCGCGUGAGGGAUGACGGCCUUCGGGUUGUAAACCUCUUUCAGCAGGGACGAAGCGUAAGUGACGGUACCUGCAGAAGAAGCGCCGGCCAACUACGUGCCAGCAGCCGCGGUAAGACGUAGGGCGCGAGCGUUGUCCGGAUUUAUUGGGCGUAAAGAGCUCGUAGGCGGCUUGUCGCGUCGACUGUGAAAACCCGCAGCUCAACUGCGGGCCUGCAGUCGAUACGGGCAGGCUAGAGUUCGGUA